GCCAGAGUGGCGGAAUUGGCAGACGCGCUGCGUUCAGGUCUCAGUGAGCUUACGCUCGUGAAGGUUCAAGUCCUUUCUCUGGUACCA
rnacentral:tRNA from 1 species